rnacentral:rRNA from 1 species
UACGAAGGGGGCUAGCGUUGUUCGGAAUUACUGGGCGUAAAGCGUGCGCAAGGCGGCUUCUCAAGUCAGGGGUGAAAGCCCAGAGCUCAACUCUGGAAUUGCCUUUGAGACUGAGUGGCUUGAGUACGAGAGAGGUGAGUGGAAUUCCCAGUGUAGAGGUGAAAUUCGUAGAUAUUGGGAAGAACACCGGUGGCGAAGGCGGCUCACUGGCUCGUAACUGACGCUCAUGCACGACAGCGUGGGGGACCAAACAGG